UACGUAGGGUGCAAGCGUUGUCCGGAAUUUAUUGGGCGUAAAGAGCUCGUAGGCGGUCUGUCGCGUCUGCUGUGAAAACUCGGGGCUUAACCCCGGGCCUGCAGUGGGUACGGGCAGACUAGAGUGCGGUAGGGGAGACUGGAAUUCCUGGUGUAGCGGUGAAAUGCGCAGAUAUCAGGAGGAACACCGGUGGCGAAGGCGGGUCUCUGGGCCGUAACUGACGCUGAGGAGCGAAAGCAUGGGGAGCAAACAGG
rnacentral:rRNA from 1 species